rnacentral:rRNA from 1 species
CACGUAGGGGGCAAGCGUUGUCCGGAUUUAUUGGGCGUAAAGAGCUCGUAGGCGGCUUAGUAAGUCGGGUGUGAAACCUCCAGGCUCAACCUGGAGACGCCACCCGAUACUGCUGUGGCUAGAGUCCGGUAGGGGAGCGUGGAAUUCCUGGUGUAGCGGUGAAAUGCGCAGAUAUCAGGAGGAACACCAGCGGCGAAGGCAGCUCUCUGGGACGGUACUGACGCUGAGACGCGAAAGCGUGGGGAGCGAACAGG